CUAUGGGUCAGGAUGGACACAGGGCCACAGCUCUGGCUUGUUUUCUAAUCAUUUUAUCUGGCCCACAAGUGGGAGAGAAUUUCAAGAAGACCGUCUCUUAAUGAGAGGGACCUAGGGGUCAGGGAGUGGAGGGGUGGUGGGUGGAGAUGGAGGCCCAGUGCCCAGGUGCUAUGGAAGCUUCUGGAAGACCCGCUGGAAGGAGGCUGCACACAGUGAAGCCCAGGGUCACAGACCUGUUCAGAAGCUGCUCUUUGUUACCUCAGGUCCUGCUCUGAGGGGCUCAAGGUCAGAUCUGUCCAACAGGCCUCCCACCUGUGACCUUGGGCCAGGACUCAACAAGACCGAACCCUGCUUCAGAGUGACAAGCCUUGUGGAUGAUCCCAGAGACAGGAUGUGAGACAAGCCCUGGUAAAAGGAGGUCUGUCUUCAGGAUCCGGAGAGCAAAUAUGAGCAGACUUGCAGCAGAACCCGGGAUAGGGUCAGUUUGGUCAGCUCUAAGAAGUCUACAGAAGCCAAGCCAUGGAUCCACCUGCACAUAAACAAAAACCCAGAGUUAAAGAGCCUGUCAGCAGAGUGGAGAAGACCAAGCAGAGGUCAGCCCAGCAGGAGCAGAAGCACACAGAGAGCAGAGGUCUGUGCCCUCAAGAGUCAC